GACGGAGGAUGCAAGUGUUAUCCGGAAUCACUGGGCGUAAAGCGUCUGUAGGUGGUUUAAUAAGUCAACUGUUAAAUCUUGAGGCUCAACCUCAAAAUCGCAGUCGAAACUAUUAGGCUAGAGUACAGUAGGGGUAAAGGGAAUUUCCAGUGGAGCGGUGAAAUGCGUAGAGAUUGGAAAGAACACCGAUGGCGAAGGCACUUUACUGGGCUAUUACUAACACUCAGAGACGAAAGCUAGGGUAGCAAAUGGG
rnacentral:rRNA from 1 species